AGAGACCAAGAGGAGAAGAGGAAGGUUUCAAGCCUUACAGAGAGAAUGACGUGGGUCGGCAGGCAGCUGGACAGAAGCCUCAGUCCAACAAUUACCAGAGGAGGCACAGAGUGAUCAUUAAGCUCCCAGCUUCAAGUCCCAACUCCACCAUUGGGACAGUUCCUUCAUCGGUCCCUGCCUCAGUUCCCCCAUCUGCUUAUUGGGGGUCCUCAUGGCUUCGACUCCGAGGAUUGUCAUGAGAACGGAAGGUGUUAAAGCAUGAGAACUGCUUGGAAUAGUGGCCGGCGCUAGGUAAGUGUGUGUUACGAAGUGUGUGUUCUGAUCGUGUUGUUAACUGCCAUCCAGCCACGGACAUCUAGCUGCCACUGCGACUGCAGGAGUGAUGUACUGUCACACGAAUGCAUUUCCUGGAGCCUGGGAAUUUCUGAUGCCCAAAGGCCCGUCCAGCCAUAUAUGUGUUGGCAGAUCCUCCGUGGUUGAUCUCAGGAAUCCAGGAUGGCUCUCAAACACAUGACCGUGGAGGUGACAACAGAGGGGGGCUGUGGGAGGAGGGCAAGCCUCACUCCCUGCAGGACCACAUCUCUCUAGACGCUCUCUCCUCCCCCUCUCAGCCUAGUCAUCUGGUAACGCUGGGCUUCCCAGCCUUCAACCUGCAGACCCAGAACCUGGUUCAGUGCAGAGUCUGCUACCACGUGGAGGAAACUUGAAGAUACAAUGCUGAAUCAUCAAAGGCCAGAGACUGUGUGUAUGAUUCUUCUCUGUGAGGUCCUGGAGUAGUCAAAUUCAUCCCAACAGAAGGAAGAUGGCAGUUUGCGGGGAUGGGGAGUCAUGGUUUACUAGAGACAGAGAAAGUUUUGCAGGAUGAAAAGAGUUUUGGAAAUGGUGGUGGUGACAGUUGCAUAACAAUGAAAAAGCACCUAAUGUCAUUGAACUGUACUUUUAUUUANUUGAACUGUACUUUUAAAAAUGUAUUUAUUUUUGGUUGGGCCCAUGGCAUGUGGAAGUUCCUGGGCCACGGAUGACUGUACUGUUAACAAUGGCUUAGAGGGUAAAUUUUAGAUGGUAUUUUUAAAAUUUUAUUUAUUUAUUUAUUUAUUUAUUUUCAGGGCUGCACCCGAGGCAUAUGGAAGUUCCCAACCAGGGGUCGAAUUGGAACUGCAGCUUCCAGCCUACACCACAGCCACAGCAACACCAGAUCUAAGCCACAUCUGCGACCUAUGUUGCAGCUUGCUACAACGCUGGAUCCUUUAAUCUGAGCAAGGCCAGGUAUCGAACCUGCAACCUCUUGAAUACUAGUCAGGUUUGUUACCACUGAACCACAAAGGGAACUCCUACCUGUAUUUUUUUUUUUACCACAAUGAAACAUUCUUCAAAAAAUGUAAUUUCUAGAGUUCCCGUCAUGGCUCAGCAGGUUAAGGUCCCGAUGUUGUCUCUGAGGAUGGGAGUUCGAUCCCUGGCCUCACUCAACGGGUUAAGGGUCUGGUGUUGCCACAAGCUGUGCCAUAGGUCGCAGAUGUGGCUCGGGAUCUGGUGUUGCUGUGGCUGUGUUGCAGGCCUGCAGCUGCAGCUCCAAUUCAAUCCCUGCCCUUGGAACUAACAUAUGCCGCCAAAAAAAAAAAAAAAACAAAAAAAAAA
rnacentral:lncRNA from 1 species